UACGAAGGGGGCUAGCGUUGCUCGGAAUUACUGGGCGUAAAGCGCACGUAGGCGGUUUCUUAAGUCGGGGGUGGAAAUCCUGGAGCUCAACUCCAGAACUGCCUUCGAUACUGGGAAACUUGAGUCCGGGAGAGGUGAGUGGAACUGCGAGUGUAGAGGUGAAAUUCGUAGAUAUUCGCAAGAACACCAGUGGCGAAGGCGGCUCACUGGCCCGGUACUGACGCUGAGGUGCGAAAGCGUGGGGAGCAAACAGG
rnacentral:rRNA from 1 species